GCUUCAAGAGUUCUAGCUCCUAGACUCACUAGCCCUGUAUCGGUCAGGCUUCUCCAAGAACCUGACUCGAUUUUCUUAGAUCUUCCUUUGAACUUCUGAUUUCUUUUCUUUAAUACCUUCACAACCCUUUACUAGAUCAGAUAAGGCUUUGUCUUAAAUCCCAAAGCCUUGUCCUAAAACUAAGAUAGGUUGUAAGAAAUAAGGGAGAGCAACAGAAAGAAAUUGGAAAGCUUACUGAAUUGCAUCGG
rnacentral:lncRNA from 1 species